AGGCUUCAGUAGCUAUGCUUCUGUGGGUC
rnacentral:piRNA from 1 species